CCCUUAGAUGUUCUGGGCGGCCCGCGCACUACAUUGGCACUCUCAAUAAGUUCCUAGAUCUAAAACUUUGGGGUAUUCUAUUAAGUGGUGUCGUGACUGGGAUUAACCCUUGCAAUUAUUGGUUACGAACGAGGAAUUCCUUGUAAUCGCGGUUUAUCAGCCCGCGUUGAAUGCGUCCCUGCCCUUUGUACACACCGCCCGUCGCUCCUACCGAUGAAUCGUCCGGUGAAGUCCAUGGAGUGGUGGUUGUUCCAGCUGCUGUCGAAGUGAAAUGGACCUCACGAUUUAGAGGAAGGAGAAGUCGUAACA
rnacentral:rRNA from 1 species